UACGGAGGGGGCUAGCGUUGUUCGGAAUUAUUGGGCGUAAAGAGCUCGUAGGCGGUGUGUCGCGUCGGCCGUGAAAACCUGGGGCUUAACUCUGGGCUUGCGGUCGAUACGGGCAUCACUGGAGUUCGGCAGGGGAGACUGGAAUUCCUGGUGUAGCGGUGAAAUGCGCAGAUAUCAGGAGGAACACCGGUGGCGAAGGCGGGUCUCUGGGCCGAUACUGACGCUGAGGAGCGAAAGCGUGGGGAGCGAACAGG
rnacentral:rRNA from 1 species